CCCGCCACUUACUGCCACUUAUACAUUUUGUUCAGAAAAAAUCGCACCAAUUUCAGACUCACCAUUUUCUUCUUCGGCUAAGCAAAGUCCAAACUCUGUCUUCGGUUUCAUCACCCCUCCUUCAAAUCUGAGCUCACAUCUCCUCCAUCCCUCAAAUCUCAGCCUCCAUCCCUCAUAUCUCCUCCAUCUCUCUCUUGUCUUUCGGGGUUGUUUGAUUUUCUGUUUUUAUUGUUUUGGUCAAUUUUGGUCAUUAUCUCUCUCUCUCAAAUCCAGAAAAUACGAUUAUCCAUUUUUUCUUCUCAAAUUCACAAAAAAAAAAAAAAAACCCAUGAUAUACGGUGCCUCCUCCGGCAAAGCCAUGGUUUUUUUCUCGAAUUCACUCGAAAUUCCGAAACUCACUGUCUUUCGUCACUUUUGUUGGUUCUUCCGGAAAAAUUAUAGUUUAUUCCUCAUAUUCCACCGAAAACCCUAAAUUAAAUUCUCCAUUUUCCGUUGUACCAGUUGGGUCCUUCGGCUAAGCUAUUGUUCCUUUCUCAAAUUCACACAAGAACUCUAAAUUAUCAAUCUUCUGCCGCUCCACUUGGGUCCUACGGCCGACCCCACUUCGCCGGUUCAUUGGUAUCAAACAAAUACAGAAAACUGUGCUAAUAAGCAUCCUAGGAAUGAUGCUUUUGGACGUCGAAAUGAGGAUCUAGAUUAUGCAGUCAUUGAUUCGGAUGUUAACUUCGAUUCCUCUACAGACAAUCUGAAAGAAUCUGGGGGAAAUUGUAUAGCUUUGAUCCCUUAUGUUCGAGUUGGAAGUGAAAUUACUAAUGUAAAAGUGAGGGAAGUGGGUUACGGACUAAUUGUGAUAUUUGCCAACACAAGAUGCUUCCCGGAAAAGAUGUAGCAGCACUCAUGAAUGUGAAGACUGGAAGGCUUGCUUGCAGUAGUCGAAAUGUGAAUGGGGCCUUUCAUUUAUUUCACACUUCCUGCCUCAUACAUUGGGUUCUUCUAUGUGAACUUGAAAUGCUCACAAAUCAGCCAGAUAAUGUAAAAGUUAAACGAAGAUCUCGAAGAAAACUACGGCCAAGAACAAUGAAAUGCAAAAUGAUAAUGAUAUGAAAGCUCUAAGGCCCCAAAUAAAUUCUGUAUUCUGUCCGGAGUGCCAGGGGACUGGAGCAAUUGUCGACAGGCAUGAUGAGAAACCAACGGUUCUGCUUUCAAAGAUGUUCAAGUACAAGAUAAAAGUGAGCGAUGCAUGCAGAGCAUGGAUGAAGAGUCCUGAAGUAUUGGAAAAUUGCUCAAUAGGGUUUCAUUUCCCAUCCCAACCUGAAGAAAAGCGUCAGGAAAAGGUGAAACAACUAAAGUUGUUGCGUUUCUAUGGAGCUCAUUACUAGAAUUAGAACGUGGAACAUCGGCCUGCGAAGGUGGGUAAUGAAGGAGCAACUGUAAGUUAUUGUGGAUAAGUACAAUGAGAUUGUAUAUAUACCUGUUGACUGUUGUGGUGAUCUAGUCUAACACAAGUCUACAUACUGACAUCAUCUGCAUUGUAAAUUAAAUCUUACUAUUCUCCAAUGCAUAUAUGUAUUUUAUAAUUGUGCAGUCUCUCUAUUUUACUAUUCAUUUUGUUCUUUGUUAUGUGUACUGUGCUCAGCGAGUAGUUUGGUAGAUAAAUAACAUAGAUAUAGACCUGGUGUACAUGUAUCUAUCAAGAAUAGUGUUGUGCUUAUUAUUUGGGGGAACAGAUUAUGAAAGGGUAGCAUUAUUAUUUGCUGCUAACUUUUCCUUCUUUUGCAGCCCUAGAUUUUCGAGUUGAUGACAUAAAAUAAAUGAAAAUUUAUGUUUUUGUUCUGUAAAGUUGUGAAUGUGUUCUUUCAUCUCGUUUUCAUUCAUAGCAUUAGUAAAUUUGUGUUUAUGCCUAUAUAAAGAACUAGUAAUAUAUUUUGUUAGGGAAAGUGCAAAUACAACACUUGUAAUUUUAGGUGACACAUAGUUGGGUUUUUGGUUAACUUGCUUGAUUUGAAAAGAUAAGUUGAUAGAAAUUUAGUGUAGCUGUGCACGACUGUUGUUCUCAAGUGAAUUUGAGAUUGGAGUGUUCACAUGAACUGAAAAAUCAAAGCUGAAAAGGGAACCAAUGUCUAUUGUUUAGGAAGACUACUGCAAUUUCUGCCUCUUUUCCAAAAGUUAUGGACUGUAAUAAAUAACCCCAUUUAUUCCAGAUAAAAUCAUAGACAAUAAAAUUGAUGAGGAUGAUGUUUUGGAAUUAAUCUCGACUAUAAUUGAACAUAAUUAUAGGUUAUGAACUAGUCGAAAUAGAACCUUAUUUUAUUGGAAUGAGAGUGGUACUGAUCAUAUAGUUGUUUUUAGGAGUCCACUUAGCAGUUGGCAGGGUUUCGAUGGUGAACUUCAGCGAAUCACUUUUGGAUUUGUUUUGCGGGUGUGAGAGAAGAUUCUCUGUUUAUAUCAUAUUCAUAUGCUCAAGAUUCUCUGUUUUCUGUUUCUGGUUUGUUAGUUUUGUUAGCUUCAGUUGUAUUCAGUUAUACUAUUACAACAUCCAUCUGUUUUCUGUUAAAGAUUCUCUGUUUUCUGUUUCUGGUUUGUUAGUUUGUUAGCUUCAGUUGUAUUCAGUUAUACUGUUACAACUUCCAUGUAUUCAGCUGUAUAAAGCAUUUUUUCUUGUAGUGCAUUACAAAAAUAUUGAUGGAAUUUCCUCUCUCAGGUAUGAGCUUUCACCUUUCUUUACAAAUGGGUUUGAACACACACACACACACACACAAAUAUUAAAAUAAUUUGGAAGGUUUUGGCCGUCUAGGCUCUAGCUUUUAUUUAAUAACAAUAAUAAAGGACAAAAGUGUAUCUCAAUUCUCAAUUGUAUUUUACACAAAUAUUAUUAUAUCAGCAACCUUGUAUAGACAAAUAUUUUGUAGAAAUUUUAUUUAUGUGGUAGAUUAAGAUAUAACUGAAAUGAUCUAUCUCACUGAAAUAUGUAGCUAGAUCAUGAUCAAGCAUCAUAUUUUAUUAGAUAUUUAAGUUAUGAUAUGGUAUAUAUGUGUUUAUAAUACUUCAAAUAAUUACUAUAGAGAAAUGGUGAGAGUGAGGGUAUUUAUUUGAAAAGUGACUGGUUUAUCUGUUAUUAUUCAAGCACCUUCAAUUUUACCUUUUCUGCAUAUGAUUAAUGAUAUGUGCACACACUCUUGUUGCCACAUAGGUGUGUAUGUGUGAUGUUAGUGUGUCAAAAUUGUGCUGCUCAAAGCUUAUUUAGAUGAUAAAUGAGGGGAAUGCUGCCCAGCAAAACUCUGAAAUUACCAUAUUAUCCUUUCAAUGAAUUCUACCAUUUGAGUCAUUCAAAAGUUCCUUAUGAGCCCAACCAACUUCUAUAUUCUAAAAUACAAAAAUAUGCAGAUAAAUGACAGUUGUUUACCAAGCCUUGGUGGCCAUUUAAGGUCCAAUAUCCAAGCAUUUAGAUGCCAUUAAAUAACUUUUAGGAUCUCUUUAUUGUUCUGGAUUAUUAGUUUCAUUGUAUUACAGCUUGUCAAAGCUGAAAUCUGAGCCCAACAUAGUUAUACUUAAAAUUGAAUUAUCAAAGUACCAAUAAUCAACUGUCAUAUACUGGAUUCAAUUAUGGAAAAAGUACCAUUUAAUCCCAUAUAUUCAGAAAACGAUCAAAACUUACUGUUGUAUUGUGUGAAAUAGGUACACUCUCCUAUCCAUUUUGUCAAAAUUUACUAAGUCAUACUUAAAAUGCCUUUAAAGUAAAUGUGUGUAUAUAUUUUAUCCCCAAAUUUUAAGAUCGAAUUAGAUAAAUUUUUGAUUUCAAAGGCUGUUUUAAUAUCUAUUGACAAAUUUUAAUUUUGUAUUAAUCUUUUAGGUAUUGAUUAUAUUCUUUAGGUUGUGGAUCGAAUUGACAAGGAGUAUUGCAAAGUUAAUAUGCAAGAGCUCUAGGGAGAUUUUCGUUUGGUCACAACAAUCAUCUCAAGUCAAUUGCUGCAGCAUAUUGGAAGCAUACUGGGUCACCUUUGAGUUCCCUGCCUUCUUUGGCUCAUAUAAGAAGUCCAAGUAGUGUUGUUCCAUCUCAGAUUGGUCCAAUAUCGAGAGUUGGCACUGACAGCUCGUCUCUUGUUCGAGAUGGAAGGGUCUGCACUAGCAGCCCUCUUGCUACUUCUGGAUUGGCCCGAUCCUUUGGCAUCGACUCCUUUUGGAUUGGCCUGAUCGUCGUCAUGCCUUGAUAUGAAUGGAGGAGUCUGCAAUGAAGACACGGAGUGUGUUGGUUUUGCUAGAAUUGGAAGUGAAGAUCAGAUCAUUGUGGCUGGUACAAUGAAGCAACUUCAAUUGCAUGUUUUUUCCUAUAAAAUAGUAUUGUAGGAGUGUGCAACUACUCAAAUUUUGACGUGUUAUUAUGUAAAAAAUUAAACUCUUCAAUAUUUUGUGCUGAAAGUAGUAACUUUUCAAUAUGUUGAAUAUUUAAGACUACUUGAAUACUUAAAGAACAUUUUGUUGCU